AUCCUGGCUCAGGAYGAACGCUGGCGGCAUGCCUAAUACAUGCAAGUCGAACGGAGGUGCUUGCACCUCAGUGGCGAACGGGUGAGUAACACGUAUCUAAUCUACCUUCUAGCGGGGGAUAACUUUUGGAAACGAAAGGUAAUACCGCAUGUGGAUGUUAUUAUCGCAUGAGAAAACAUUCAAAGAUCCGUUUGGAUCACUAGAAGAUGAGGAUGCGGCGUAUUAGCUAGUAGGCGGGGUAAAGGCCCACCUAGGCGAUGAUACGUAGCCGAACUGAGAGGUUGAUCGGCCACAUUGGGACUGAGAUACGGCCCAGACUCCUACGGGAGGCAGCAGUAGGGAAUUUUUCACAAUGGACGAAAGUCUGAUGAAGCAAUGCCGCGUGAGUGAUGACGGCCUUCGGGUUGUAAAGCUCUGUUGUAAGGGAAGAAAACAUAGGAGAGGAAAUGCUCUUAUCUUGACGGUACCUUACCAGAAAGCCACGGCUAACUAUGUGCCAGCAGCCGCGGUAAUACAUAGGUGGCAAGCGUUAUCCGGAUUUAUUGGGCGUAUAGGGUGCGUAGGCGGUUUCGCAAGUUUGAGGUUAAAGCCCGGAGCUCAACUCCGGUUCGCCUUGAAAACUGCGGGACUAGAAUAUCAGAGAGGUAAGCGGAAUUCCAUGUGUAGCGGUAAAAUGCGUAGAUAUAUGGAAGAACACCAGUGGCGAAAGCGGCUUACUGGCUGAUUAUUGACGCUGAGGCACGAAAGCGUGGGGAGCAAAUAGGAUUAGAUACCCUAGUAGUCCACGCCGUAAACGUUGAGUACUAAGUAUUGGGGAUUACCUCAGUGCUGCAGCUAACGCAUUAAGUACUCCGCCUGAGUAGUAUGCUCGCAAGAGUGAAACUCAAAGGAAUUGACGGGGACCCGCACAAGUGGUGGAGCAUGUGGUUUAAUUCGAAGCAACACGAAGAACCUUACCAGGGCUUGACAUACAGUGCAAAGCUACAGAGAUGUAGUGGAGGUUAACAUUGAUACAGGUGGUGCAUGGUUGUCGUCAGUUCGUGCCGUGAGGUGUUGGGUUAAGUCCCGCAACGAACGCAACCCUUGUCGUUAGUUACUAACAUUAAGUUGAGGACUCUAACGAGACUGCUAGUGUAAGCUAGAGGAAGGUGGGGAUGACGUCAAAUCAUCAUGCCCCUUAUGUCCUGGGCUACACACGUGCUACAAUGGCCGAUACAAAGAGUCGCAAUCUCGCGAGGGGGAGCUAAUCUCAAAAAGUCGGUCUCAGUUCGGAUUGAAGUCUGCAACUCGACUUCAUGAAGCCGGAAUCACUAGUAAUCGCGAAUCAGCUAUGUCGCGGUGAAUACGUUCUCGGGUCUUGUACACACCGCCCGUCAAACCACGAGAGUUGGUAAUACCAGAAGUACGUUUCCUAACCGUAAGGAAGGCGCGUCCCAAGGUAGGACUAGCGAUUGGGGUUAAGUCGUAACAAGGUAUCCGUACGGGAACGUGCGGAUGGAUCACCUCCUUU
rnacentral:rRNA from 1 species